CCCGGCCCUCCAUUCCUAUCCCAUCAUUGUUCCCUGGACCUGUGCCCAGUGCAGAGGGACUGGCACGUGUAACAGUUUCCAUCUCUGCCCCAUCAUAACUCCUUUGUGGGGCCCCAUUGUAGUUCUCAUCGCUACUUUCUAUGCCAGCCCCAACAAUGUAUCCCAUCACUGCAUCUAUCACUGAACAUCAUGACUGUCUCCUUUAUGAGCCUCCGUCACUGCCUCCAUCCUGGUCCCUUGGCAUUGCCCUCCCCUGAUUUAUCAUCCAGGCCUUAGUUUGUACCCUGCAUCUCUGCAGCUGCCUGUAGGUGAUGCCAGGGCGUCUCUGGGUUGUGACCUCUUUCUUGUAAGGCAGGAGUCUUGAAAGACAAGAGACACAUAACCAAAACCCAGCAAGGCAGCCCAGAGUCAGGUCAGGCGAGUACCAGAGCAGGACAUAGCCCAAACUAGCACUCUCCACCCACCUUGACUGGUUAUUACCAGCCACUCACCAAGUCCCCAUGCUAGGUUUCCAAGCAGCUGUUGCUCUUCUGAUCUGAUCACGGGAGAGACACCUGGCGAAGGAGGGGUACAAGAGAUAACCUUGGCUCAGUAACUGACAUAAGCUGUGGAGCAGAAAGGAGCCAUGGACCCAUCUCUCCCAUGUGUACAUUGAGCAAGUGCCCAUUGAGCUCCGCUGUGUACCAGGCAUCUAUCUUCUGAGCAGGACUCAGUGGGAAGCAGAUGGACAAGGUGCAUGGCCUUUGCGUCUGCCGCCACCACACAGCUGGUACCCACUGUGAGCGCUGCCAGGACCUGCACCGGGACCACCCAUGGCAUACAGCAGAGCCUGGGCACCCUCAGCCUGCCAGGAACGCAAGUGCAAUGGACAUGCCCGCAGUUGUCACUUUGACAUGGCCUUGUAUCUGGCAUCUGGCAAUGUGAGUGGAGGCAUGUGUGACGCAUGUCAGCACAACACAGCUGGGUGCCACUGUGAGCUCUGCCAGUCCUGCUGAGAUCCCAGGGAGGAUCCCCGGUCCCUUCAUUCUUGCAAAUGUGAGCCCUCCAAUCCCCAAUCCCAACUCUGACCUCGAUCCUUCAGGUCCGUGGUGACCUCUGACCUAACUCUGUCCUCACCUCUGACCCAUGACGCAGCCUGUAACUGGGACCGUGGGGGGACCCUGGAAGGGGGUUUGUGUGAUGCCCACACAGAUGAGACCUGUGGUCUCCUCUCUGGGCAGUGUUGCUGCAAAGUUCAUGUCUGGAGCCAGCGCUGUGACUUCUGCCGACCUGGUCACUGUGGCCUCAGCCCCACCCAAACAGAAGGUUGUCAGCCUGAGUUAUCCUGGGAGCAGACCCCAAACCCCAUGUCCUUGCUCUGCCCCCAGUCACUGCCAUAAGAACACAUGCAUGCACCUACCUCUGCAGCAGUCCCAAUAGCACCCUGGGAGCCCUGUGCCCUAGCCUGCAGGUGUCGUGACCCCUGGGGCCGGGUCCCUGGCACUCAUGCCUGUGAUCCCUCCAUCGGUGCCUGUCACUGGCAAACGCUUUGUCUCUGGGUGGGACUGCAGCUGUUGUCUGGUAAGCCUUGACCCACCUUCUGAUUUGACCUUGAUCUUGGGCAUUGAGCUUCUAGAAGCUGAUAAGUACAAGGCUAUAAUCAGUGUGAAUGUAGACUGAGCCUUACACAUGGGUUGGUUCAACUCCCUGAUCUGGUUAUCGGGGUCAAUGCCACCUCAGCUAGCUGAACCAGCAUAUGCCCUCAGGUGGGAGCUUUGGGGGCAUAAAAAGGAAAAGCGAUAAAACAAGUUACAACAGUAUUGGUUUAAAGAACUAGGUUUAAAA